CCCCCCUUGGGUUGUGCCGUGGCGGAGAUCUUUGUGGGCUAUACUCGGCCUUGUCUCAGGAUGGUAAGUUGGUGUUUGAAGAUAUCCCUCUAGUGGUGUGGGGGCUGUGCUUUGGCAAAGUGGGUGGGGUUAUAUCUUGCCUGUUUGGCCUGUCCGGGGGUAUCAUCGGAUGGGGCCACAGUGUCUCCUGACCCCUCCUGUCUCAGCCUCCAGUAUUUAUGCUGCAGUAGUUUAUGUGUAGGGGGGCUAGGGUCAGUCUGUUAUAUCUGGAGUAUUUCUCCUGUCUUAUCCGGUGUCCUGUGUGAAUUUAAGUAUGCUCUCUCUAAUUCUCUCUUUUUCUCUUUCUUUCUUUCUCUCGGAGGACCUGAGCCCUAGGAUCUCAGGACUACCUGGCAUGAUGACUCCUUGCUGUCCACCUGGCCGUGCUGCUGCUCCAGUUUCAACUGCUCUGCCUGAGGCUAUGGAACCCUGACCUGUUCACCGGACGUGCUACCUGUCCCAGACCUGCUGUUUUCAACUCUCUAGAGACAGAAGGAGCGGUAGAGAUACUUUCAAUGAUCGGCUAUGAAAAGCCAACUGACAUUUACUCUUGAGGUGCUGACUUGUUGUACCCUCGACAACUACUGUGAUUAUUAUUAUUUGACCAUGCUGGUCAUUUAUGAACAUUUGAACAUCUUGGCCAUGUUCUGUUAUAAUCUCCACCCGGCACAGCCAGAAGAGGACUGGCCACCCCUCAUAGCCUGGUUUCUCUCUAGGUUUCUUCCUAGGUUUUGGCCUUUCUAGGGAGUUUUUCCUAGCCACUGUGCUUCUACACCUGUAUUGCUUGCUGUUUGGGGUUUUAGGCUGGGUUUCUGUACAGCACUUUGAGAUAUCAGCUGAUGUAAGAAGGGCUAUAUAAAUUGAUUUGAUUUUGAUUUGAUGACAGUCAAUUAUGGCUAAAAGCAGAAGCAUUUAUCCUGUAGCACAAGCUCACAUGUAGGUAGUAUUUUGCAUUAUUCCAAAUCAUACAUUUUGGGUCAGUUUAAUCUGUGAAGUAGUAAACAGGAUACAGAAUUGCAAAACCCAAACAAAUUAAAUGGUUGGUGGAAAUAUAAUUGUCUAUUCUAAGCAUUAAGGUUAAAAUACUAUAUAAACAUUAUUUCCAGAGAAAAGUUAUAUAUUAUUUGGUAUCUGGAACUGUGACCUUUCAGAUUCAAUGAAACUAAUGUUCUAUGACUGAGUGGAAUUUCUUUGAAUUGCACUUAAUUAAAUUCUACUUCCUGCCACUCAAACUCAAAUUAUACAUCAUGUGGGGUGUGGUCAAUUCAAUUAGAAUUUCAACUCAUGAGUUGAAUGGAAGUCAAUUCCAAAAUUCAGAAUUGAGCCCAACCCUGGUGAGAAUGUGUUUGUUAUUGUGUAGUUGAAUAAAUGCUUUUGAGUGUACAAUGUAUGCAUGCUUUUGAGUGUGUGUGUGUGUGUGUGUGUGUACUGCAAAUUAGCCUUAAACAUGUCCUUACGUGAUGCUGUCAUUAAGAUUUGUAUUGUCAAUCCAGACCCACUGUCCGUCUUACAUCGUUUCUGUCAGUCCAAUCCAGGGGAGUGUCUCCAACCCUCCUCAGUGAUGUAGUCAAGUCACUUAACCUCGAGCCUGAGUCGAGUCCCAAGUCCCUAGUAUUCUCAAGUCACGAGUCGAGUCAUGGAUACAGAUGUCCUCCGUCGCGGAUGCAGGCGUAUUGACUCUGUUCGUUGCUGGAGAAAUAGUAGCAUGAUCCAUUGAGAAACGCCAAGCCAGGAUAACAUUGUGCCUUCCCUCUCUCUUCUACGGAAGCAAUCUAAAUGUAAUUACUCACAGUACUAUAUCCUCUUAUGUUCAUGUUAAAUGUGUGUUCCCGUUUAAGAGUGCACAAGAGUUGUGGACAAGAAUCACCCCCCCCCCCCAACAUAAAAAAUAUUUUUACAUGACCCUCUGCUUGUAUUGUACACAUUUUGUUUUACCCUUUUACCCUCAUAAUAUACACAAAAAGGAUUACUGCACCACCACAAAUAACAAUAGCUGUAGCAACCCUGUGUUUAUAAACAUGGAUAUCGACAUACCCACUUUAGCAUGGUUUUGUGGCACAGUCGAUGCCACGCAGGGCUAUGGGCCAGAAGGUUGAG
rnacentral:lncRNA from 1 species